rnacentral:rRNA from 1 species
UACAGAGGUCCCGAGCGUUUGUUCGGAUUCACUGGGCGUAAAGGGUGCGUAGGUGGCAUAGAAAGUUUGAUGUGAAAGCUCAGGGCUUAACCCUGAAAUGGCAUUGAAUACUGCUGUGCUGGAGGUUUGGAGGGGGGACUGGAAUUCUUGGUGUAGCAGUGAAAUGCGUAGAUAUCAAGAGGAACACCAGUGGCGAAGGCGAGUCCCUGGACAACACCUGACACUGAGGCACGAAAGCUAGGGGAGCAAACAGG